AUCAGUAUUUUUUUUUUCUGAAAAAUUUCAGAAUAGAAGGAUUGUGAAAUUGAUUCCA
rnacentral:tRNA from 1 species